AACGCACCUUGCACUCUUUGGUAUUCCGAAGAGUAUGCCUGUUUGAGUGUCAUUAAAUUCUCAAACCUUUUUGGCUUUGUUGGUCGAAAAGGCUUUGGAUGUGGGAGUUGCUGGAACUAGUCUUUCAGCUCUUCUUAAAUGUAUUAGCGGGUUACUGAUCUCCGCUACUUGGUGUUGAUAGUCUAUCUUACGCCUUGUAGUUGAAUCAACUUAUGUAGCUGCUUCUAACUGUCGACUUGGGUUGACAAUUUACUUGACUAUUUGACCUCAAAUCAGGUAGGACUACCCGCUGAACUUAA
rnacentral:misc_RNA from 1 species